rnacentral:rRNA from 1 species
CUCGACCGCUGGCGGCAGGCCUAACACAUGCAAGUCGAGCGGAGCGGCGGACGUGUGAGUAAUGCCUAGGAAUCUGCCUGGUAGUGGGGGACAACGUCCGGAAACGGGCGCUAAUACCGCAUACUAGCAGUGUAGCCUAGGGCGGAUUAGAUAGUUGGUGGGGUAAAGGCCUCCCAAGGCGACGAUCCGUAACUGGUCGGAGAGGAUGAUCAGUCACACUGGAAGUGGGACACGGGCCAGAGUCCUGCGGGAGGCAGCAUUGGGGAAUAUUGGACAAUGGGCGAAAGUCUGAUCCAGCGAUGCCGCGUGUGUGAAGAAGGUUUUCGGAUGGUAAAGCACUUUAAGUUGGGAGGCGUUACCAACAGAAUAAGCAACGGCUAACUUCGUGCCAGCCGCCGCGGUAAUAC